UGCCAGAUAGCUCAAUUGGUAAAGCAUCGCGUUGCGAAGCAGAAGUGACUAUCAUGGUGCGGGUUCGAUUCCCGCCUCGUAC